AGCUAACCUACCCUCAGGACGUGGAUACCCCCGGGAAACUGGGGCUAAUCCGCGAUAGGUAUGAAGGCCUGGAAUGGUUUCAUGCCCAAUGGCACAGCGAUCAUGUUUGUUGUGUGCCUGAGGAUGGGGCUGCGGCUGAUCAGGCAGUUGGCGAGGUAACGGCUCACCAAACCUUUGACCAGUACGGGCCAUGAAAGUGGUAGCCCGGAGAUGGGCACUGAGACAGGGGCCCAGGCCCUACGGGGCGCAGCAGGCGCGAAAACUCCACAAUGUACGGAAGUACGAUGGGGUUAUCUCGAGUGCAGUCCGAUAAGGGCUGCUUUUCCAUAGAGUAAUAUCCUGUGGGAAUAAGAGGGGGGCAAGACUGGUGUCAGCCGCCGCGGUAACACCAGCCCCUCGAGUGGUGGGGACUAUUAUUUGGCCUAAAGCGUCCGUAGCUGGCUGUAUCCGUCCCCCGUUAAAUCCAGCGUCCUAAGCGUUGGACCGCGGGUGAUACCAUACAGCUAGAGGGUGGGAUAGGUGAGCGGUAUUUCUGGGGUAGGGGCGAAAUCCUUUGAUCCCAGGAGGACCACCAGUGGCGAAGGCUGCUCACUAGAACACGCCUGACGGUCAGGGACGAAAGCUGGGGCAGCGAACCGGAUUAGAUACCCGGGUAGUCCCAGCUGUAAACGAUGCUACUAGGGUGGUUGGGGUCGGCCACGCGCCGCCCCAGUGCCGCAGGGAAGCCGUUAAGCUAGCCGCCUGGGGAGUACGGCCGCAAGGCUGAAACUUAA
rnacentral:rRNA from 1 species